GAAAAAAUAGAGGAAAAACUUGAAAAAAACAUAGGAAAAAUCAAGAAAACAAAGGGUGAAAAAAGGGAAAAAUUGAUUGAUCAAAUUUUCCUUUUUCCCUUUUUUCUUCUCAUUUCUUUCUCUUUUUUGAAGAUCUAUAGGAAGGAAAGCACUAAGGAAAAUUGGAGGAGAAAUAUUGAGAUGAUGGGGAGGAAGGUGAUGGUGGAGAUCGAUGGGAGGUGGCAAUGAGGAGAGUAGGG
rnacentral:lncRNA from 1 species